GCGAAUCGCCCUUCGGGGUGCAGCAGGCGCGAAAACUUUACAAUGCUGGCAACAGCGAUAAGGGGACCUCGAGUGCCAGGAUACAAUCUUGGCUGUCGCUAUGCCUAAAAAGCAUUGCAUAGCAAGGGCCGGGCAAGACCGGUGCCAGCCGCCGCGGUAACACCGGCGGCUCGAGUGGUAACCGCUAUUAUUGGGUCUAAAGGGUCUGUAGCCGGCCGGAUAAGUCUUUUGGGAAAUCCAGCUGCUCAACAGUUGGGCUUUCAGAAGAUACUGUUCGGCUCGAGACCGGGAGAGGUGAGAGGUACUUCAGGGGUAGGGGUGAAAUCUUGUAAUCCUUGAAGGACCACCAGUGGCGAAGGCGUCUCACCAGAACGGAUCUGACGGCAAGGGACGAAAGCUAGGGGCACGAACCGGAUUAGAUACCCGGGUAGUCCUAGCCGUAAACGAUACUCGCUAGGUGUCAGCCACGGUGCGACCGUGGUUGGUGCCGUAGGGAAGCCGUGAAGCGAGCCACCUGGGAAGUACGGCCGCAAGGCUGAAACUUAAAGGAAUUGGCGGGGGAGCAC
rnacentral:rRNA from 1 species